GAGUUUGAUCUUGGCUCAGAUUGAACGCUGGCGGCAGGCCUAACACAUGCAAGUCGAGCGGUAGAGAGAAGCUUGCUUCUCUUGAGAGCGGCGGACGGGUGAGUAAUGCCUAGGAAUCUGCCUGGUAGUGGGGGAUAACGCUCGGAAACGGACGCUAAUACCGCAUACGUCCUACGGGAGAAAGCAGGGGACCUUCGGGCCUUGCGCUAUCAGAUGAGCCUAGGUCGGAUUAGCUAGUUGGUGAGGUAAUGGCUCACCAAGGCGACGAUCCGUAACUGGCCUGAGAGGAUGAUCAGUCACACUGGAACUGAGACACGGUCCAGACUCCUACGGGAGGCAGCAGUGGGGAAUAUUGGACAAUGGGCGAAAGCCUGAUCCAGCCAUGCCGCGUGUGUGAAGAAGGUCUUCGGAUUGUAAAGCACUUUAAGUUGGGAGGAAGGGCAGUAAAUUAAUACUUUGCUGUUUUGACGUUACCGACAGAAUAAGCACCGGCUAACUCUGUGCCAGCAC
rnacentral:rRNA from 1 species